AUGUAUAUAUAUAUAUAUAUAUAUAUAUGGCUAUCAGUGUUUAAAGCUGUUAAACUCAAAUUUACAAAAGCAAGAGGGUUUGCCGCAGUGUCCUAGACACCAUCCAGCUUUGGUAAUUACAUCUUCCCUAACUAAAACCUUCUUGCAGGUUCAUAACGUUCUUCCUGUCCUGCUGAAAUAUUUUGCAGAGAGCUGCUGUGACGUGAUGUGUUAAAUGUCUGCCACAAUUUUGCCCAGAAGUCAAUCACAGAUGAAGUGAUUUAUGAUACAUGGCACGCAUACACACAGAUUUUUAUUACAAUGACUUCUACUGACCUGUAAGAGUUACUUAGGAGAAGCACUUCUGAAGAAAUCAGCUCAGUAACUAAAUAUGGCUUCAUUCGAGGCCUCUAUUUCAGAUUAUUUUUUCCAAUCCCACCCCAUCUCUUAUAAGGAGGCACUGAGAAAUGGCAGAUGCAUGUCAUCAGCUGUGUUUAUAGGACAAUAACCUUUACUCUGUCCGUUAAUCCCCUCCAUAAAUACAAUGUACAUUCCAGAGUGCUGUGCUGCCCCUAUCAUCAGCGGAUAAAAACAACACGUGUGCACCUGCUAAAUAAAUAUUUUCCCUGACCUCGUACAAACGUGACAUUUCUUCCUUGCAAUUAUGCUGGCAAGAGGUCAAAGAGUACCAAAAAGUUCAUCCUACAAUGCUGAUGGCCAAGAUAAACUCACAAGGAGAGAGGAGCACCCUGCACAAGUGUUUUUCCACACUAGCUGAGGACAUCUAGUGGUCCAUAAAGCUUCAGACAAUCAUCCGCAUACCAGUUAUAAGCAUUAUUAAAAAUAACAAGCCCUACAUAUUCUCACACCAUAGCAGUAAGGAGACAAAAUGGAGAAAAUAAGAAUGUAUGGAAGUGUCUGGUGUUUAGCUGUUGUAAAUGAAACUACUGUGGCAGCAGCAAUAUAAUCGGUCUGAGGUUCUUUUUCCUAAAAAAGUGAGGUGGUCCUUGGCUUAAAGAAAGUGAAGAAACACUCUCAUGAGCCCACUGAAAAAGAGAAACUCAUAGGAUCUGGGUGAUGCGUAGCACUUGUUUCUGGUUUUAAUGAGCCAGACAAUUUUACACUUCAAAAUUAUAACAUUAUACUGAGCAGAAAACUUUACUGUGGGUAUGUUUAAAUCCCUGUCUCAGAUAUGUCCUUGGAGCUAGAGAUGGGCCAGGAUGUAUGUGAUGAAUGAAGUCUCUUUAAAACUCUGUGAUAUAGAAAUUAAAGUUGUUAUUAUUUUGAAUCAUCUGCAUCCUAUAUUUGUUUACAUGGACUAAUUAGAAACCAUGUACCCCUGUUCUUUCUAAUAUGUGUAACUCUGUGCAUGUGUGUGUCUGUUUUCACAGAAAAAGUACACCCAAAUGCAUGUUAAUAAAAUUUUCUUACCCAGGAAUGGCCAAUCUUUCUGAUUUUACAAGCCACGUGUGAAUUCUUCAUGCAGCCAGGAGCCACAAGACACAUAAUCUGCAUCUUCCAGACUAUCCCAAAUAAUAGAAUCAAUCAUAGAAUCACGGAAUGGCUCAGUUUGGAAGGGAUCUUAAA
ensembl:lncRNA